AAAUACGCAUGCGCAGUCGACCACUGAAGACGUUCUUUGCUCGAGACGGAUUGGCGGCAGCGAGAAGGCAGUGCAGGUGUGCGAGUUACUUUCAGGCUUUGAAAAACCUGGCAAUGAAUUAUUCUGGCUGAGUUCUGUCGCUUAUCAAGCAAAAAUCUGAGUUGCAAUCAGAGUUCUUCAAAGAUCUCGACAAAUAUACUCCUCGCUUCCUGGAGAAGUUCAAAACCCAGAGGGGGAAAGUGUCGGACAGAAACUUGAAUAUCUGCAACAAGUCACACCUGGGUGUACAGAUGUGACUGGGAGGUGAACAGCAGUCCUCCGUAGCUCUCCCUUCAUCCUUGGAGAUGACAACGCAGACUUCUUCAAGAAUUUGUAAGUAGACUUUAGUCAAAAUUAUUUAAUUCCACACCACAGGAUGCCCAAUCUAUCUCAUGUGUUCUGCCUGUUAAUCUUUUGUUAUUGGCUACUUCUCUUCCAAUCAGUGCUUCUACUUUUUGAUUCACUUAUCCCUGAUUGGGGCCCUUUUAGUGGGAUCUCCCGUCUUUCCAGUCAGGUCCAGUUGCAGCUCUCUAGUCGCCCCAUUCAAAACCCAAAGGCCUUCAAAAUAAAAAAUUACAAAUCAUAUCACACCUAAAUGGGCAUCUGUACACCUUCACAUGUCUGCAUGAUGGUAGAGGGGUUCUACUAAUAUCUCCUGUUACCAAAAAUGGGUUUUCACUUGUAACAUUCUCGCUAUUUCUUUGUUGCUUUUGGGCAAUAUGCUCGCUCUCCUGCCACAGGAGGUUCAGGAGCAGCCAAUAUGAUGCAGGUGUGACGGCUGAAGAUGGUGUGAGUUUAGGAUGGCAUGAAGCUUCGACUUGACCCUAUGGAAACACAGCAGAUGCCACCAAAGGGUCCUGAUCGGGGCGUGUUGUGAUGCAACUAAAUCGACCUGUUCUCAGGCCCUUCUACAUUCUGUUUUUUACAUUUGCUCUAUUAUUGUUGUUCCAUUCAAAUAUCCCUAUUUGUAAAUAUGAUAAUUCAUAUUCUUUAUUAUUAGCUUUUGCAAUCAUUCAGUGAAUCACAUGAUCAAUGAAUUAAUCAUCGCACUCACUCCUGAGAAUCUUUCACUUGAUUAUCUAAUAAUAUCAGAAUCCAGGUAACCAUUGUGUGUUCUACCAUAGAAAUGCAAUGUGAAAUUUGACAUGUAAUUGUGUUUUUUAUGCUGCUCUUGU